rnacentral:rRNA from 1 species
AUUGAACGCUGGCGGUAUGCUUAACACAUGCAAGUCGAACGGUAACAUAGAAGCUUGCUUCUGAUGACGAGUGGCGGACGGGUGAGUAAAGCGUAGGAAUUUGCCCAGUAGUGGGGGACAACAUGUGGAAACGCAUGCUAAUACCGCAUACGCCCUAAGGGGGAAAGCAGGGGAUCUUCGGACCUUGCGCUAUUGGAGAAGCCUGCGUCGGCCAUUAGCUAGUUGGUAGGGUAAUGGCCUACCAAGGCGACGAUCCGUAGCUGGUCUGAGAGGAUGAUCAGCCACACUGGGACUGAGACACGGCCCAGACUCCUACGGGAGGCAGCAGUGGGGAAUAUUGGACAAUGGGGGCAACCCUGAUCCAGCAAUGCCACGUGUGUGAAGAAGGCCUUAGGGUUGUAAAGCACUUUCAGUAGGGAGGAAAGGUUGUGUAUUAAUAGUGCAUAACUGUGACGUUACCUACAGAAGAAGCACCGGCUAACUCCGUGCCAGCAGCCGCGGUAAUACGGAGGGUGCAAGCGUUAAUCGGAAUUACUGGGCGUAAAGCGCGCGUAGGUGGAUAUUUAAGUCAGAUGUGAAAGCCCAGGCCUCAACCUGGGAACUGCAUUUCGAACUGGCAGGCUAGAGUAUGGUAGAGGUAAGUGGAAUUUCCUGUGUAGCGGUGAAAUGCGUAGAUAUAGGAAGGAACACCAGUGGCGAAGGCGACUUACUGGACCAAUACUGACACUGAGGUGCGAAAGCGUGGGGAGCAAACGGGAUUAGAUACCCCGGUAGUCCACGCCGUAAACGAUGUCUACUAGCCGUUGGGAGACUUGAUCUCUUAGUGGCAGCUAACGCAAUAAGUAGACCGCCUGGGGAGUACGGCCGCAAGGUUAAAACUCAAAUGAAUUGACGGGGGCCCGCACAAGCGGUGGAGCAUGUGGUUUAAUUCGAUGCAACGCGAAGAACCUUACCUGGUCUUGACAUCCUACGAACUUACUAGAGAUAGUUUGGUGCCUUCGGGAACGUAGUGACAGGUGCUGCAUGGCUGUCGUCAGCUCGUGUUGUGAAAUGUUGGGUUAAGUCCCGUAACGAGCGCAACCCUUGUCCUUAUUUGCCAGCACGUAAUGGUGGGAACUUUAAGGAGACUGCCGGUGACAAACCGGAGGAAGGUGGGGACGACGUCAAGUCAUCAUGGCCCUUACGGGAUGGGCUACACACGUGCUACAAUGGCCAGUACAAAGGGCAGCCAACUCGCGAGAGUGCGCAAAUCCCAUAAAGCUGGUCGUAGUCCGGAUUGGAGUCUGCAACUCGACUCCAUGAAGUUGGAAUCGCUAGUAAUCGUAGAUCAGAAUGCUACGGUGAAUACGUUCCCGGGCCUUGUACACACCGCCCGUCACACCAUGGGAGUGGGAUGCAAAAGAAGUCGCUAGUUUAAUCCUUCGGGAGGGACGGUUACCACUUUGUGAUUCAUGACUGGGGUGAAGUCGGAA